rnacentral:lncRNA from 1 species
AACAGCAGGGUACGUACUACAAUUGAUUCCAGCGCAUCAUGACAUUUACAAAAGUGCUUUUUGCAAGAGGGCUGCUAACCUAGGUGUGGAAAGAAAGCAUCCAGAAUUUAAGUGGUAGGUGGCUUGCCUGUAUUCCCUUCCAGCUUUUCCAGAUGAUAAUUCCCUGCUUCCACCUGGCUCUAGGAGUCAUUAGUGGGUGACAGCUCUCUGAAGCAUCCAUAGAGCUCCUCUGCCCUUCCUGUUUGAACUGCAUGUUUCAGAUGUGUUAUCAAGACAUUGCCAUUGUGCAGAUACAGAUUAGUUCUUGAGACUGAUUUUUCUGCUUCACCAGUUCUUUUGUAGCUGCCAGAACUAAUUGCUUACAUUACAUUACCAGUCUGGGCCUCUAUCACUCCCUGGAUGAUGCCAUCCGUUG